UUUUUUUUUUUUUUUUUUUUUUUUUUUUUUUUUUUUUUUUUCCAUGCU
rnacentral:ribozyme from 1 species